UUGGCCCCACUGUGCACCACACACUCCUUUCCCAGCCCAGGGGCACGCGAACAAAAUGAGGCUCAAGCUGACCAGGCCGAGCCGGAGGAACGCUGGGGCUUGGCAGCAGAAGGGAUGGGACCAGAGAGAAGGGUGUGGAGGAGACCCCAGUGAGGGCCAGGACAUUUCAGGUAAAGAGAGGUCAUAUCUCCGUACCUCACUUCCUGACACAAACAAGUUUUCACUGUUGUCAGCAACAAAGCCCUAAUAUAGCUGCGGAAGAGAAAAACUGCAUUGCAUUUUGCCUCCUGCAAGCAUCAUCAACAGUUACUGGAGGAACGUAAUUCCAGAAAGCUUGAAAGCCGUGGUGAUGGUAAUUAUGUAUCAAAUGCCUGGUUCUAUUUCUGUUAUUAUUGUUUUGUCAUUUCUGUUUUCCCAGCGAUCUGACUGAACUCGCAGAGGGACAAAUCCAGUUUUUCUUUUUGACUUUUGUCAAACUAAAUCAGGCCUGAUAGAAAACUCAUUGCUCUCCGGGGAAACAAAGUAGGAGCCACGAAAUGUCAUUUUAACAGAGCGUGGGUUUGGUGACUGUAGGAAAGGAUUUGAGGACGCUCCUUCUGUUCGGCUUCCUAUGUCAUGAGCACAGGCUCCACGCACGCACAGACACCACGGCUCCCGGAUGCUGUGGCUCCCCGAUCGGGGCUCCUGCAGCGCCAGAAGCCCCUCCGGGAUGCUUCGAGGGGCUCCCGGUGGGUGGAGGUACGGACGCCGCUGCGGCCGCCGCCGCCAGUCCUGCUGCUGUUGUUGCUGCUGCAGUCACGUGGGAGCCCCUUUAAGUUUCCAUAGAGAGGCCUCUCUGGUGUCACAUGAUGGACAUGAUAUAAUGAAACAACAUUGUGGAGAGGAAAGCAUUAGGGGAGCCCACGGCUACAAAAACAAGUGAGUGAGAAGAGGUGGGAGGAAGAGAAACUACGCCACCUCCCCUGCAGCCGAGUGCACGCAGCAGCCUGGCGUGACAAGUGGGCGACGCCGGGGGGCAGGGAGCCGGGGUCCUUGGCCCUGGCCGGGGACCCCACCGCCCACCGCGCGGAGGACAACUUUUAGCCGGCAGCCCAGACCAGCGCGGCACCUGUCUCCGGAGUCUCCACCGCUCCUCCCGAUUCAUCCCAGGGAAAUUCUCAAGAAUACGCUCUACAAAUCUACGUGCGCAUCAUUUUCACCUCGCGUCGCGCCCGGGAGGAAGGAACGAGGCAAGGAGCUAAAGCAGCGUGCGUUCAGCCCUGGGGCAUUUUAUUAAUGCUUUUACGAGUUAGAAGAGUUGGGAUAAUUUGCCAUCUGGAGUUUCUCUGCCUUGCUGAUCUGAGCUCAGACCUGCCAAUUUACCAGAGAUAAUUGAUAACACCCUGUAACAGCUGAGAGGAAAAUGGAAGAAACGGAGAUACUUUUAGUGAAGCAGAAUAAACCACUGAACAGAUGGAGUCUCACUCUGUUGCCCAGACUGGAAUGCAGUGGUGUGAUCUCAACUGACUGCAACCUCCGUAUCCUGGGUUCAAGCAACUCUCCUGCUGCAGCCACGAAAAAUGAGGAAGCUGUGAGUACCAGUGGAAGGAACGAGCCAGGAAGAGGGACUGGAACCAUCUCAGAAGCCAUGCCCCUCAGGCUGGAACUUGCCCUGUCUCCUCGCAGAUGAGGUAGGAGGCUCAGCACGGGCUGGUGGGAGCAGCCCACAGCAGCAGUGAGGGUCAGUGGGCCUGUGAGUUAAGAAGAAGGUGGCACAGAGCGAGGGUCUCUGGAUCCUGACUGUUUGACUUUUCCAUGAUUAGGAUAAGUAGCCAGGGCUUGGCUAGUUGGAGAGUUACUCGAACCUCAGGUGACAGUUGUAAGGCAGCACAUAGUGAAAAAGAGUCCUAGCCUGGGAAAGUCCAAAACCUUAGGUCUGGUUUCAGUUCACUCACCUAUCUCUGUGACAUAGCAAAGUCUGUUAAUUUCUCUAAUUUUCUGAUUAGUAGUAUAGUUGCAGGAAUGAAAUAAAAAUGGUCCUGAUUACUCAGAGAUUCAUUUACUGAUUACUCUUUUUGUGACCUGAAUAAAGAGUACAACAUCUCUCAAAAGGUAACAAUAUGAUGUUUCAGGAAAUUAGAGAAGUUAAGAGACUUUGCUGUAUUUACUAUACAGAUAGUUGACUGACAGCUGAGCCCGGACCCAAGAUUCAUUUAUAAAAUGAAGGAGUUGAGAAGUACAUACUCUGAGGUUUAUCCUAAAUAAACUGAAGUCUAGGCAAGUGGCUGAGCUAGGUUUGCCAUGAAUCAAUCUGCUGAGUAUAUUUCUUGGUAACUAGUUCAUCUUUCCUUAAUUCAGUCAACAAAUAUGAUAUCAAGUUUAGUAAGAUGAUGACAGUUGUCAUGUAAUACUCCAUCUGGAAGAUUGUAUGCUUCUCAGCUUCCCUAACUUUUCUUAAUCUACCUUAAGCUUCCUUUCUGAAAGGUUUCUGUCUUUCCUAACAGUCUCUUCUUUCCGCCAGCUACCUCUUGUGUUUAAGAAUUAAAGGAAGAUGAGCUAGGAAUCAAGAAAUACGCAGAACUGAUUCCUGUCACUGGCGCCACCCUGCCACUUGCCCAGAGCUGUGGUAUAAAUUUUUUUAAUAGGCUGAAAUAAAAAUAUGAAUAGCAUUUUGGUAUUAAGCAUUAAAUUGAUAAAGGCUAUGAGAUACACCUGCUCUCAACCAUGUUAAUUUUUUAUUAUUGGUAUUAAUAAAUUAUUACUUACUAACAUAUUAACAAGAAUUGCAUUGAGAAACAAAGCAUCCACAGGCCAAAUCUUCUGAAUUUCAAAUGUUUAUAUUAAUGCGUUGUAUUCUAGAAAAGUAGAAUUGUCUUAAGUAGCUUUGUAAUAUAAAGUCAUCUAUCAGCCCAUUACACCUAUUAGAAUGUUUUAACCUUUAUUUCCCACUUUUUUGUUUCUAGACUGAGUGUACUUGGUCUGGUAUUUGUGGCAUAACUUACGGAACACAUAAGAAUGAUACAGAUACUAUUUAAUGAUGACCUAAUACAAGCUUAGAUAGCUAAGGUGAAAGCUUCUAUGGCCUUAACAUUUUCCUCUUGAAGAAUGUAUUUUCUGUAAUAAAAUACAGUGGCUACUUGAAAUCUAUAAACUUAUGUGAGGUCUGGAUAAAUCUGAGCAACUUUCUUCUUUGUGCUCCAGGAACCUACGCACUAUAUAUAUAAAUAAAGCUUAAGUAAACAUCACUGCAAAAAAAAAAAAAAAAAA
rnacentral:lncRNA from 1 species